CCUUUCCGGUCUCGAUCUCUCGGGACCGCGCCUUCGACUCGCCGCAGCGAUGCGGUCGAGGCGAGAGCAAACUCCUGCCUACGAGUACCUCUUGUUCCCUCGGCGGGUCUGCACCCGCCGCUGGGCCCCACCAAACCUCCUUGCAGUAGCAGUAUACCUCUGAUCGUGGGCACUUGAAUCUUUA
rnacentral:misc_RNA from 1 species